rnacentral:rRNA from 1 species
UACGUAGGGGGCAAGCGUUGUCCGGAUUUAUUGGGCGUAAAGAGCGUGUAGGCGGUUUGGUAGGUCCGUUGUGAAAACUCGAGGCUCAACCUCGAGACGCCGGCGGAAACCAUCAGGCUAGAGUCCGGAAGAGGAGAGUGGAAUUCCUGGUGUAGCGGUGAAAUGCGCAGAUAUCAGGAGGAACACCCGUGGCGAAAGCGGCUCUCUGGGACGGUACUGACGCUGAGACGCGAAAGCGUGGGGAGCGAACAGG